UCGUAGGAGGUUAUACAGGCAAAUCCGUAUAACAAUACUCCGAGAACUGAAAGGCUUUUUGAAGUCUUCGGAUGGAUAGAAGAACCCCUGAUGCCGUCGAGCCAAGAAAAGUUUCUAAGUUUAGCUAAUGUUGCCCGUACCGUAAACCGACACAGGUGGGUGGGAUGAGUAUUCUAAGGCGCGUGGAAGAACUCUCUUUAAGGAACUCUGCAAAAUAGCACCGUAUCUUCGGUAUAAGGUGUGGUUAGCUUUGUAUUAGGAUUUACUCCGAAAGCAAGGAAACUUACAACAAAGAGUCCCUCCCGACUGUUUACCAAAAACACAGCACUCUGCUAACUCGUAAGAGGAUGUAUAGGGUGUGACGCCUGCCCGGUGCUCGAAGGUUAAUUGAUGGGGUUAGCAUUAGCGAAGCUCUUGAUCGAAGCCCGAGUAAACGGCGGCCGUAACUAUAACGGUCCUAAGGUAGCGAAAUUCCUUGUCGGUUAAAUACCGACCUGCAUGAAUGGCGUAACGAGAUGGGAGCUGUCUCAAAGAGGGAUCCAGUGAAAUUGUAGUGGAGGUGAAAAUUCCUCCUACCCGCGGCAAGACGGAAAGACCCCGUGGACCUUUACUACAGCUUGACACUGCUACUUGGAUAAGAAUGUGCAGGAUAGGUGGGAGGCUUUGAGUAUAUGACGCCAGUUGUAUAUGAGCCAUUGUUGAGAUACCACUCUUUCUUAUUUGGGUAGCUAACCAGCUUGAGUUAUCCUCAAGUGGGACAAUGUCUGGUGGGUAGUUUGACUGGGGCGGUCGCCUCCCAAAUAAUAACGGAGGCUUACAAAGGUUGGCUCAGAACGGUUGGAAAUCGUUCGUAGAGUAUAAAGGUAUAAGCCAGCUUAACUGCAAGACAUACAAGUCAAGCAGAGACGAAAGUCGGUCUUAGUGAUCCGGUGGUUCUGUGUGGAAGGGCCAUCGCUCAAAGGAUAAAAGGUACCCCGGGGAUAACAGGCUGAUCUCCCCCAAGAGCUCACAUCGACGGGGAGGUUUGGCACCUCGAUGUCGGCUCAUCGCAUCCUGGGGCUGGAGCAGGUCCCAAGGGUAUGGCUGUUCGCCAUUUAAAGCGGUACGCGAGCUGGGUUCAGAACGUCGUGAGACAGUUCGGUCCCUAUCUGCCGUGGGCGUAAGAAGAUUGAAGAGAUUUGACCCUAGUACGAGAGGACCGGGUUGAACAAACCACUGGUGUAGCUGUUGUUCUGCCAAGAGCAUCGCAGCGUAGCUAAGUUUGGAAAGGAUAAACGCUGAAAGCAUCUAAGCGUGAAGCCAACUCUAAGAUGAAUCUUCUCUAAGCUCUCUAGAAGACUACUAGUUUGAUAGGCUGGGUGUGUAAUGGAUGAAAGUCCUUUAGCUGACCAGUACUAAUAGAGCGUUUGGCUUAUCUUUAAUAAAGCAU
rnacentral:rRNA from 1 species